ensembl:lncRNA
GUAACACUGUGUUAGUAUAACUAAGCAAAUGAAGAGAAUUUAAGCCCACAUAAUCUGAAAACCUUCUUUCUCUGUUAAAGAAAAUUGGUUUUUGCAAUGUGGACUAAAACUUGCCCAUAUUAAAUAUGUUUCUAACAUGAAAUGAAAUGUUAUUUGAAAUGCAGAAAGAUAGUUUUAAUGUGUUAGGAGAUUUAUGCUCAUGAACUAAUUUUAGAGCUUCUCAGCACAAGAAGCUUAGUUUAGUGCUUCUGUAAACAGUAACACUAUGUUAGUGCAACUAAGCAAAUGAAGAGAAUGACCCUUACAAAAAAUAACUGCAGUACAUUGAAGUAAAACUGCAGUACAACGUAGUAUAACUGCAGUACAAUGAAGUACAACUGUAGAUUUGCAGUAUAAUGAAGUAUAUAACUGCAGUUCAUUAAGUUCAACAGCAGUAAAACUUAACUGCAGUCCAGUGAAGUGCAACUCUAGAUUUGCAGGAUAAUGAAGUACAUAUACAAUAUAACUGCAAGUCUGUCUGAUUAAAUUUAUUUAUUUUUUAUGAACAUUUUUUUAAAUAAACCUCCUAUGAUAAGGUUCAGUAAUUUGACUUUAACUUUGUAUUGCAGUUUGCUGUAUUGUGCAACAUGUAGCAAGUGCUGUGGUCACAGUAUUGGCAAGUGUUUUUUUAAUUAAUUUAUUAUUAUUAUUAUUAUUUUUAUUUUUUUUUUUGUAAUGUAGACUUCCUAUAAAAUAUUUGUAUAAAAUAUUUUUGUACAAAAAAAUAUUUGCUUAUGGAAUAUUUCACCCUCAUAGAUUAAUAGCCUGCACGUGGGAUCUUCCUUUGCACCAACAGUCGUUGUCCUGACAACGAGUCUCAGCUGAUUACUGAUAAUGCACAAAGACAUAACAACAUUACACCCCAAGACCGUUCACAAGUGUGAGAGAAGAGAAGAAACCGUUUCUGGAAGAGAAGUUCAUCAGGCGAGUUGGAGCAUUGACUUUGUCGAGUCAUCCAGUUUAGCGGUGAGUAUAUGGAUGACACUCAAUUCUGUGGGUCUUGAGUCUCUUUUGGCAUGUUGGGCAGAUGUAAAGGCUUGGCUUUCCUUAAAUUUUUCAUUCCCCCGAAACUGGAUUUGGGAGGGAUGUCUCUGUGUUUGAAAUCAUGGGUAAAAAACCUUGAUUUCAUUUUUGAUGAUGGCUUAAAGUUUGACUGACAAAUAAAUUCAGUUGUCAAAGCUUGCUUUUUUCA